AUUGAACGCUGGCGGCAGGCCUAACACAUGCAAGUCGAACGAGGGGCGGACGGGUGAGUAAUGUGUGGGAAACUGCCCGGUGGAGGGGUAUAACUACUGGAAGCGGUAGAUAAUACCGCAUACCAUCGGAUGUGCCGAGAUGGGUUUAGCUAGUAGGUGGGGUAACGGCUCACCUAGGCGACGAUCCCUAGCUGGUCUGAGAGGAUGACCAGCCACACUGGAACUGAGACACGGGCCAGACUCCUACGGGAGGCAGCAGUGGGGAAUAUUGCACAAUGGGCGCAAGCCUGAUGCAGCCAUGCCGCGUGUAUGAAGAAGGCCUUCGGGUUGUAAAGUACUUUCAGCGAGGAGGCGUUACUCGCAGAAGAAGCACCGGCUAACUCCGUGCCAGCAGCCGCGGUAAUUC
rnacentral:rRNA from 1 species